rnacentral:rRNA from 1 species
GACGAACGCUGGCGGCGUGCUUAACACAUGCAAGUCGAACGAAGUGGCGAACGGGUGAGUAACGCGUAAUCAACCUGCCCUUCAGAGGGGGACAACAGUUGGAAACGACUGCUAAUACCGCAUACUGAAGGAGGGGCGUGAGUCUGAUUAGCUAGUUGGAGGGGGAACGGCCCACCAAGGCGAUGAUCAGUAGCCGGUCUGAGAGGAUGAACGGCCACAUUGGGACUGAGACACGGCCCAGACUCCUACGGGAGGCAGCAGUGGGGAAUCUUCCGCAAUGGACGAAAGUCUGACGGAGCAACGCCGCGUGUGCGAUGAAGGCCUUCGGGUUGUAAAGCACUUUUGGCAGGAAAGCGGUACCUGCAGAAUAAGCACCGGCUAACUACGUGCCAGCAGCCGCGGUAAUUC